rnacentral:misc_RNA from 1 species
UUAUACGGACUUGGAUGUUUUGCUCAUAUGAAACCGCUAAUUUUCUCGUUUGUCACAUUGGCUGGGGAAACAAAUGCUAUCUAGUCGGCUUCGUGGAUUGUUGAAAACUCAAGUAGCGUCGGUGUGUGUGGUUUGCCAUAAUAUAAUUUUUUACUUUGCGGAUAUUGCAGUGUUCUAUAGUGAUUUCGUGUGUUAUUUUGAGCAUCCCGUUGAUUUCUGAGCAGUAAUCAGUCAAUAAUUUGACCAGUCGCUAUCAAUUUGAUCGCUGAAGAUGGAAGAAAAAAAUUCCAAAAGUUACGAAAAAUUGGCCGAGACAUCGACUCCUCCGAAGAGCCCAAAGUCUCCUCUCAGACCUUUUCGGUUGAAGUUCCAUAGAAUGUUGAGCACCGGAAGCCUCAAACUGGGAUCCCAUUCUUCGCCAGGAACGCCUAGUUCUUUAUCCUCGAGUUCUGAUGGGAAACAUUACAGUUUCGAUUGCGAAUCUAUGGAUUUCAUAAGGAGUCAAAGUGGGAGCAGUUCUGCUGAAAAUUCAAGACCGAAUUCCCUGAAUCUUUCGAAAAAACUCAGGUGAGAGCAAAUUAUUAUUUGUCAGAUUAAUUU